UUUUUGGUCUUUUUCGGUGGAAAAAAAAAACCCUAUGUUCUUGAAAGCUUAAUGGUCGAUCUAAGAAUCGAUGAUAAAAUUGUUCGAUUAUCAACGUAUUACGUCUGCGUUUAUCAUCUUUCUAUCUCAAAAUCGGAAUUCUUCAUAGAGGUAAUCUUUUAUUUAUUCAGAUUUUGAAAUUUUUUUUAUCUAAAUUUGUAGAUUCGAUUUCGAUCUUAGAAAUUUCCAAUUUGAACAGAGAUAUUGGGCAAUAAAUUUGAAGAACCCUGACUUACAUGAGUUAGGAUUACCAAUUAUAGUCAAAAUUUUUGAUUUCAAUUAAUUUUAUAAGAAAUCGCAAAUUGAUUUUCAAUUUUAUUUGUGUUUACCAAGUAAAUCAAUCUAUCUUCUUAGAUCUGCAAAGCCAUUGAGUUUAUAGUUUUUAUAAUUUCAUAGUGUAAAGAUUUUAACAAAAUCUUUUGUUUCCUUAAAAGGUUUAACAUUUAACUUUUUCUAAAUGGAUUUCAGAUUAUUACGAAGAUGAUGAUAUUGCCAAUAGAAGACGAUUUACAAAGAUAAGUUCUCUGUUACGAUUUAUUCUAUCACAAAAGAUGUUUUAAAUAUAUAUGGUACUGAAGUUAGAUAAUUCAAUGUUUACAGACCAAACUCAAAUCUUUAAAGAAGGAAAAUUUGAUGUCGUUUAAAGCCAGUCCAAAUUCUGAAAUCACUGUUAAAGGUUAGUGAUGUGUUAAUGAUUCAAAUUUGGUGUAAUCUAUUCCCAAUAUUUAGCUAUUGUUAGUUGUGUCUCUUUCUGAAUUAGCAUGUUUUAUGAAAUAUACACUUAUCGUGAUGUGUCAAUUGUUUUUCUAAAAUGAUUUUACUAUAUUCUCUGUUGGAUGAUAAGAUAUUAAAGUAAUAAUACUUGUUUAUAUGAAUUAACAGAAUUUUUAGAUUCUGUAUAUGAUUUCUUCUUAGUAAACUUGUAAUAGUUUACCUAUUUGUACUUAAUAUGAUGUAAAUGUAAAUGAAAACUUUUUUAAAACAAAGUUAUGCUGAUAUUAAUAAUAGAAGUUUAUGAAUUUGUGUAAAAAGAGAAUUGAGAGAAUAACAGACCAAGUUUGGUAAAAUAAUCUCUUCAAUGGAAGUCUUAGAUUGAAGAGAUUACUACCAAAUUUCCAUUUCCAUGCCAGCUUCUACCUGUUCAGACAACCAAUAAAAAAUUAGUAAAGUGUAAUUGCUGACAAUAAUAAUCAGUUUUUAUUGAUUGUUAUUGUUUGUUACCUUGUAGACCAAAUGUUUCUUGCUUUCUUUAGUCUUAUAGGUUCUGAAAAACUUCCUUGAACACCACAUUCAUUGUUUCCUUUUGCGGUUUCCCUUCUUUGUCCACUAUGAGGAUCUUCAGUCCUGUCUUUGAAGUUACCCUUGAGAUAGCAACAUAGAGUUGGCCAUGAGAAAAGCAUGGUCUAGGUAGAUAGAUACCAACGUUAUUCAAAGAUUGCCCCUGACUUUUAUUAAUGGUCAUUGCAAAAGCAACUGCUAUUGGAAGUUGUCUUCGACGCAUUUUGAAAGGGAGUUUACUGUCAGAUGGAGAAAUCAAUAUCCUAGGAAGGAGGACUUUAUCUCCAACUCUAUCACCUGUAAUAAUCACAGCCUCAGUAACUUUAUCACCUAAUUGUGUUAUUUGAAGCCUGGUCCCAUUCAUUAAACCUCCUCUUGGAUCUAAGUUUCUUAGUAACAUCACAGGGCAACCAACUUUCAACCUUAUACCAUGAUUAGGCAAUCCAGAUAUCUUGAGACUGUUCAAAAACUCUGAUGUCAACACUGGAUUAUUUUUACCUCCAAUAUCUGAAGGAUCAACAGAAUCUGAACUUAGGUAUAAAUGUUCAUCACCUACACACAAAUUAAGAUUUACUUUAAUUCAUAUAUCUUUAGAAAUCCUAAAACAUUAAGAGUAAUGGAUACUAACCUUCGAGUCGAUCAAGCAUAUAAUCGUUGAUCAUACACACAUCUUCAUUGGUAGGACACAAAAUCGCCCUCUGUUGGAAAAAAACAGGAUCUGUUUUGUCCUUCAAUAACUUAGGAUCUCCAUAAACUUCCCUGCUUAUUGCCUCAAUUGGAUUUUCAGCGUUUGUGAUUAAAAACUCUUCUGGAAUUUCUAUCAUAACUUCUCCAUCAUUAGGCUGUGCUAUCUUACCAUCACCUACUGCUAGAAUCCACUCUGAAAAUUCCUUUAGAUCAUUCACCUCACUUGGAGUCAAAUCCUUUGAAAGAAGCCGCAUAUUUUUCGUGAGCUUCAGAACUUUACAAUGAUUCCAAAUAUAAGAAGCAUUAAGUGCAGCCAUACAAAUUUCUGCCCUCCCAGCACCAUGUAUCACAGGUAGUACCUGUCUGAAAUCACCACCAAAAACAACAACUUUGCCACCAAAAGGUUUGUUUCCACCACCUUUAAUAAUGUCAGACAAGCUCCUAUCCAAUGAUUCAAAACAAUGCUUACUCAUCAUAGGAGCUUCAUCCCAAAUUAUCAAAGACGAUUCUUCUAUUAAUUCUGCCUGAUUUGAACCUUUCUCAAUAUUACAUACAGUGAAGUCGUCAGGAUUUAAUGGAAUACCAAACCGAGAGUGCACUGUUCUCCCACUAGGUAACAGUAGAGAAGCAAUGCCACUGGAAGCAACAUUUAGCACAAUUGAACCUCUAGAUCUUAGAGAAGCUGAUAGUGUCUUAUAUAUAAAAGUUUUACCAGUUCCACCAAAUCCAUAGACAAAGAAGACACCUCCCUUGUCAUUAUCAACAGCAUCGAUGAUCUCUGAAUAAACACUCUUCUGCUCAUCCGUCAUUUUUUGCAAGGAUUCUUCAAGUAUUUUCUUCUGUUCUUUGCGAUCAUAGUUUUUUUCGUCAAGUAUCAGGACGUUACUAUCAUCAAUUUCCUCAUCAGGUAACUGAGGCAUUGUUUUGAAAGCUGUUAGAGAUGUUCCAUUGCUUCUUAAGAUGCUGUUGAUUUCUUUUAAAGCUAAAAUCUGUUUUUGCUCGUCCGUAAGUGUUAGUUCUGCGUCCCAAUAAAUCAAAACAUGUUCAUAAGUAAGACAGAAUAAUCAUGGUAUAAAGUAAUACAAUUUUUUAAUAACCACUAUUUAAACAAACCAAAGAGGCUGACUUUUUUUUAAACACAAAUUUACCUGGUCGGUUGAAGUACUCUCUCCUUUUUCUUUCGAUAUCUUCUGAGAGGAUUUCCCAUGUUUUUUCCCAAACUACUUCCGGUUGAGAUAAGCUUGUUGACUGGAGCAUUACAACAAACAUACAACGCAAGUAGUUUCCAGUGGCCCAGAAACUGGUAGUUUUGAUGGUAUCAAUAUACUCCUGGUCAUCGUCUAGCAAACCCAAAGCAUAACAUGUCUCCUUGAAAGUCUUGUAAACAACGCCAUUCACUGUUUUUAUGUCAUCAAAACUUUCAGGUCCUGUUUGGGUAUUAAGAAGCACUCUUAAAUAAUAACCUUCCUCAUAAAUGAGUGGAACAUAAUUUAUCCUUCCUAUUGUAUUUCCUGGUUGCUUCCUCAUAUUGAAAUUUCUAGUUUUUCCAUCCCAAGUAAAAAACUCUGGAAUCUGAGUGUAUGUGAGACCUUUUGCUUUUGGACACCGCUUGUUCAACUCAAACCAAGCUAGAAACAUUGAAUUUUGUAAUUCUGAACGUUGGAGAACUGUUUUCACCUCAUCAUCAGCUUUGAAGUAUAAUAGUUGUUUUCCUGGUAGAUGGAAGGAUAAUCUCUGAACAGACGUUGACCUAUAAUGUAUAGGAUGUUUCAAUAUUCUCCAUCCAGCUUCACAUGUUGAUACAUAUCUGAAAAAACUCCAUAAAACACUCUAGUUAGAAUUUAGUAGUAUUUAAAGCUUAUUUUGUUAAAAAAAUAGUUUUAUACCUGUAAUUGAAGAAACAGUCUUCCCCAAUAUAUGUUUCUUCGUUAAAUCAUCCAUUAGAGAAUUCAGCUUCAUUUUGAACAUCCUGCUUAUGAUCUCUGGCCUAUCAUCGGAAUUACAAUUUCUUUCAGUACAGAAUCUUACCAAUUCUGGCCAUUUUGGAUUGCACGUGAACGUAAUGAAUAGAUCUGGAAAUCCAUAAUGAUUGCAUGUAGACAUUGCAUCCAUGUACAUAUUCUUCAUGUAUCUUGGACCACCAACAAAAGUAGCUGGUAAAUAAAAAGCUUUUCCUUCUUCAUUCAUAUCAUUCUUUCCUGAAGAUGCCGCCUCUUUAACAGAAUCAUAGUUAGAAGCUCUCAAACUUGACUGAUUCAGCUUAAUAUAUUUCAGCCUAUUGGCCUCAAUUGUAGUGUAAGCAUCAACCAAGAAAUGUUGGAACAACCGUUUUGACCUUAGUAAGAGACUUGGUUCAUUCUUUCUCUCUUGAAUACGAAACGCAUACCAUUGACGCAAGCUUAUGCACUUAUUCUCUUCAGUUUCUUCUUCCUUGUUCUUCUUUUUACCAUGAUUAUUUCCUUUUAAAAUACCUGGUCUAUAUCCAUCCUCACCAUUUGGAAACAGCAAAGGAUAUUGCAGAGCAAGAUAACAUGGUUCUAUUUCACUGAUUCUUUGUAAAAACCCAGAUUUUUCUUCAAUAACAAUGUCACGACUUGGCAUACCAAUAUGAAAAUCACCUGGAAUCAGCGCUGCAACCUCUGAAGCUGUUGGUACUGAAUAUGUUCUUCCAUCUUUGACACGAUUGCUUACUAUUUUCAUGUGAAAACUCUGUUCAGGAUUGGUAUUAAACCUGUCACGAGCUUGCCUAAAAUGCUCAACGUAUGGAUUAACAUCAUUUAACAGCUUAAUUAUGGCCUCAAUGAUUUCUUUUCUCAGCUUUGGCUUCUUCUUAUACUUCUCAGUUGAUUUCCCUUUGCUGCAACAUAAAAGGGACCUAGUUAGCAACGUCAUUCCAUUGUAGAUAAAACAUGUUAUAUGGAAACUCUGUUUGCUAGUUUUAAAAUAGCAAACAUACCUUAAAAUUCCUGCUCUGUUUUCAACUUCAUUCUCUGUAUCAACUAUAUAUAGUUGACUGAACUUAGGAAACUCACCUUCUCCAGGUUUCAAACUUCCCAUUUGAUGGUAGUUCUCUCCUUGAAUUUGAAACAUAUUAGGACCACGACCUAAAGUAACAGAGUUAUCACAUUUUCCUCCAAGAGAAGUAAAUGAAAAAAUCAUGUUAUAGGCUCGGAUGUUCUCUCUAAAGUGUCUACUCAUGUCAUCAUCAUUGGUUAGCAACGCAAAUAACAACUCUGGUUGAUUACAAAGGAAAGGCAAUUUGACUGAUCCUUGCAAACAACACUGAGUAAAUAUUGGUUUACGAACUUUCUUGUGUCUGUUAAUGCGUUCUCCAUACCACAUUAUAGCACCACAAUACGAACAUGAGUAGAUAGGAUCUCCAUGAUCUAGGUACUCUACAAUAACAGAGACAAAAAUCAGAAAUCUAUACUUUAUGUAAUCUUGGUUUCAGAAAAUAUUCAAAAUUAAUCUCCUUAGAUAAUACCUGUGUUUUGUUUAUUUCUGCUAGAAACAUUAGUAGUUUUCCUUUCUCCAAAAGCUUUAGUCAAACUUUCAUCUAACAUUGACAAAAACUCGUAUCUUUGCUUGAGUUCAGUAGGGAUAUCCUCUAUGUUUUGAUAAUCUGAUUCUGAUGUUUCGGAUUCAGUUUCAUCUGCACUACUGCAAUCGUAAACUUGUUCACGUGAUUCUUCCAAACCGCCUAUUUAUGUUUUUCAAACAGAUCAGUGAAUGAAUGCUUGUUAAGUUUAGUAAAAAUAUAUCAUAGAAAUUCACACUUACAUUUGCUUUGAUAAUCAAUCAUAUUAAUAUAUGUUUCUUCUUCAGAAUGCAGGACUUCAUCAUUGUGUUCUUCAUUGAUUGGACAGAGUGGCGUAUUGUUUGAUGUAUUCUUCUCCUUUGCAAUAGACUUGGCAAACCUCAAAGAGUUUUGUGGUUUGGUAAGUGUAAUACCCUUAGUAGCUACAUUUUAUAAAAUUCAACUAUUAGUUUUCUUCUAUUAAACCUGUUGUGUUAAGACCCAGGUUUGAGAAAAUACAUUUUCAGAUGAAUAAAUUAUAAUUUGUAUACCUUGUUUGCUGUUAACAGAUGGAGGACUAUACUUUUUUGCUUUCUUUUCUGGUGCUUUUUUUGGAUUCAUCGGUGUAUGUUGAACCUCACUCAAUAUAUCUGCUGAGUUUGAAAAAUUCUGCAGAUCUUGAAAAGGUCUUCUCUGACUCCUAGCAUUUUUUUUUGCUGAUCUUAGAGUCAUAUUUGUAGUAACCGUAGAUUCAUCGCCUAAACCAUUAUUGUGCCAGCAUAGUUAGUUUCAUUAAUAAAUGGUCUGUUUAACAAAACCAUGUUAACAUACCUAUUGUUUCCUGUGGCAUAUAUGUUGAAGAAGAAGGACCAGUUUCCGUCAGAGGAGACAGAGUAGACCUUGCCUGUGAAGGUAUGUUACUUAUUCCAACCAUUAGUCUAUCAAAAAUUCCUUUAACUUGAACAUCACUCGUAUCCAGAUGGUUCUGUUGAUUUGGAUUGAUGUUUUCAUCAUUCUGCUGAGACCUAGACCGCUUUGGUUUAGGUGUCUGCUGCACGUUCAAAUUUUCUUUGAGAGUUGUGUUUUUCCGUCUCUUCAUUCUGUUGAAAAUCAAUAAAUAGGUUAGAAAUGUUAAAUAGUAUUUGUUCUGUGAAAAAGACUGAUAUUAUUCUUCUAAGAUCUUAAGAAAAAACCUUUAAAAUGGUUGUUUCAAUAUCUUCGAUUAGGAGAAUAGAUGAAGAUUAAAAGUGGUAAUUGGAUUAGAAGUGAUCUGACCAUAAAUCCAAACAACCAUAUUUACAGUGAUUUCGUAUAACUGAAAAGAUUAUAAUUAUAUAUGACAUAUUUUGUUUUCCAUAUGGAAUUGCAAAUCUACUUGAUUGCUCCUUUAUUUAUUUUUAGAAUCUUUUAUUAAAGAUCUCAUACUCUUUUGUUGAUCUCGUGUUUUGUUAUUUAAAGAUUAUUAUUAUUUAUGCUAAAUCAGUAUUGUUUAAUAUAUUCAUUCUAAUACCAUUAAUUAGUUUCUUCAUUGUAUGUCAUUAGUUUCUUCAAUGUUUUUAACAGUUUGUUCUACAUCAUCUUUUUCAGGUUUUGAUAUUUAGAUGACAACUCUAACUUAUAGAUUUCCUAUUUUCAAGUUAAUUGCCGCUUUAUAAUUCUAAGGUUAGUUAUUUUUUCUUUUGAUUUGAUCAUGUUCACGUGUCAAAACAUAUUACAUAAAUAACAUGGGAAUCUGUUUCAUGUUUGCAGAUUUUUUUACCUACUAUAAGUUAUGGAUCAAGUUCAAAUUGCAAUCCAAUUAUAAGGUUAGUGAACUCUUAUUUUUUUGCUUAUUCAUCUUUGAAAAAUCUUAUAGUUUUUAUUGGUAGUUAGUAAAGAACUGAAAUUAAGCAGAAACUUGGUAGAUAUUAUUCAACAAAAUAAAUCUGAUUUGAAGUAGAAAGUUGCAUAGGAAACAAAUAACAUCUGAAAUUUUAAAAACUUGAAGCAAAGAAAAAACCAAUAAAAAACACAUCUCAAACCAAGCUCCCUACAUUAUUCCAAUACAUCACUACUUAUUUCUUCCCAACUUCAAUCUCUUCCUUCUCAAUGUCACCAAGAAUGGAAGGAACACAUGCUUUUUUAGUAGUAGAACUCUGACCUUCACAGUCCACAGAACAGUCAUCAAUACUACGCUUGGAAGAAGGAGUAGAUGAUGUAGGACCAUUAGCAUCUGUGGUUUCACUGCUAUAGGUCAAAGCAAGUGCGUCCUAUUAAUCCAAGAGAAAACAAUUAGUCAAACAUUUACCAUGAUUAUUAUGAAUAUAUUAGGAUACAAAUUACUCAGUUAUCUAUAGAUACAUCCUAGAUUUGUUAGUAAUAUCACAGGGUACUCACUAAUUAAGUGUAACAACGAUCCAGCCCUUUAGAGAUAAACUUGAAAAGGUUUUUGAUAGAAUGAUUUUGGUUGCAUCUACUAACAUUACCUGAUCAAUAGAUAGAUCAUUAUGUUGGUCAGUCGGCUGGUCAGAAUCUUCAAUAGUAUCUAGAUUAUCAAAAUCAUUACCCAGCCAAAUAGUGGAAACCUUGUAGGUAUCAUCUGUUUCAUUGAUGUUUUCUUUUCCAACAGUCACCAGAAAUUGGAAAGUCUUUCCAACCAAAUCUUUGAUUGGCUGAGGCAAGUUUGUUGGAUCCUGAAUCUGUUAUCACAAUAGCAACAUAAUAUUUUAGAUGUAGGACAAUUAUUAUCUACAUAACUUACACAUGAUCAUUUGUUUACCUCAUCCCAGUUUCCUUCAAGCAGAUCUUCAGCAGAAACGCCAAUGAUCUCUUGUGCAUUUUUAUCAAAGAUCAGAAAAUUGGUGUCACCAGUGCUAUCCAUAACUCCCACGUUUAAAAGGUACCUUCAUAUAAAAAGAUUUUCAUACAAAGUUAGAUAGAUAGUUAUUAACUAACAUAAUAGCUAUAUAAUCAAAUGGGAAAUUGUUACCUUGGAACCACCUUAGGAGUGUCUUCCUUACAUGUUGGACACCAAAACAUUUCUUUCUUACCUUUUUUGGCAAUCUCAUUUUCCACUUUUGGUAUCUUAUAGGCAGUUUUGUGACACUUCAGACAACAAAAGAAAUACCACGAGUAGUCUGUGUCGAUCUUCAUUAUGGUAACAAUUAUGUUGCAUUUCCCAAUCUAUACAUAAUAAUAGAGAAUUAGUAUUUUAAACAUAAUUAUUACUAAUAGAGGCAAUUAGUAUUAAUCACAACUAUUACCUCAGAAAAACAAAAGAGUCCAGAGAUGGUUUUCCUUGGAAAACGAUCAUAGUAUUCCUUUUUUUUCAUCAGUUGAUUCCCAUGUUUUGGCUUAACUUCUUGGAUAGCCAGAGGCAUAGCAUCAGGGGGUAAACUACAUGACAAUUAAAAAAAAAAAUCAACUUAUCAUAAUAUCAAUAGGAUAUACAAUCUAAUUAUUUUCAAAAGCAAUAUUAAGUUUGCCCCUAUCUUACUUGGCCACAAAUUCAAGAACAGCAGGGUAGGUAGCAUUGAUUUCCAACAGAGACAUGUCAAAUGCAUUUGAAACUGAUCUUUCACCUAACAAAAUGAGUACUAUUAGUAUAAAUAUAUUCUGUGAUCUGCCUUUAAAAAUCCCAAAAAUGUUUUAUCAAAAACGUUUUAUACCUUUGAAUGAAUUGAUCUUAGCAAGACGAAGUAAGGCAAUCACCCUCUCAGUGCCUGCAUUUUGACAUGCAUUCCACAUUGCCUCAGCAAAUCUCCCCCAAAGAGUACAUUUCAGCCGUUCAUCACUAUAUAAGAAAAUAAGUUGUGAGAUAAUUGUAAGUACAAAUAACAUAAGAUAUAUUAUAAUAGGGUAAAGCCAUAUGAAAUUACUUUGUGUCUCUGAGUUCAAGAUCAAGUUUCUUUGUGAUUUUGUUGUUAACAUCAUGAGUUUUCAUCUCAUUGAAACUAACAACCUGUCCAAGUACAUCUACAAAAUUAAGAAAUUAAUAUUUGGUUUUUGAUGAAUAUCUAUUAUUAAAAUAUGCAAAGAAUAAUAACUAAAAAUAAAAAGAAAAAUAUAUUACCAAUUAAGAUGUUUUCAUUCAAUCCUCCUUCAUCCAAAACAUCUUGAAAGUUUGCCAGAUCCAAAUAAAUGUCAUUAGAAAGAGGAGGAGUUCGAGUUAUUACAGUUUUUUGCAUCAUGGACAUUUUGAAACCAUGUUUAGUUGCACGGUAUUUUCCUGUUGACUUGGCUAGUGUAAAUUUCUCGAUAAUACGCCACUCCCCAGAGGUAAUGAACCUUUGCAGUUUGUUCAAUUGUUGCUUCUUAAUGGUAGCAUGGAUCAAAGUACCCUGAAUAUUGAAAAAUAAGUCAUGUUAAACAUACAAAACUAUGGUGUAUAUAUGAUACACGAUUAUUUGUAUAUAAGAAUGAUAUAGUUACUUACAGAGGUAUCAGCAAGAAUCAUUUCGACGGUUUCUCCAGUGUAUUGAGUGUAUUGAGUCCAAGAAUGGACAAUUUUAACUUGAAUUCUCCAUUCUGUUUUGAAAGGUUUGACAUCAGCAAGGGUGGUGAAUGCUAGCUCAGCUGCCAUUUUCUUAGUGGGAUUGUGUAGAGAAAGAGUGAAAGCUUGAGAAGGUGAGUUUAACAUAACAUUGGAUCAUAUAUUUAUACUAAUCGAAAUACGGCUAUAAUUUUCUAGGUUUUAGAGAAUUAUCGGGGAAGAGGAUAAAUGCGAAUAGAAUAUUUUAGGUAUAUAAUUGAUAUUAUGCUAUUUUUUGGGUAUGAUUUAGAACAAAUAUGGAUUUGAAAAGAUUUUAUGAUUUUAAAUAUAAAAAAAAAGGAAGUUAAUUGUUUUCGUUUAUAUGGAAAGAUUUUUUCAGCACAAGGAAAUUAUUUAAUUGCAUUUUAAUUGAUAGCAUCCCGGAGAUUUUGUGAUGAUUUAGAAAUUAUAUGGAGUUGUUUGGAUUUGGAAAAUUUUUGUAUCUUUGAUUAUGCAAAAUUUAAGUUGUGAUUGAUAUGGAAAUAGAUUUGAUUACGUGUUAUAAUAUUAGAAUAAGUUUAUCCUUAAUCGGGUUGAUUACGUGAUUACGGAAUAUUUUUGAAUAGGGUUGUUAUAUAGAAUAAAUGAUUUUCCGAAUUUUAAGUUGUGCUUGAUAUAAAAAUAGAUUUAUUUACGUGUUAUCUAACUAAUUUUCUGUUUAAUGUUUGUAGAUAUGUUACAUAAGGCCUGAUAUUAACAAUGGGCCAAUUAACAUAAAGCCCAGUUGUGUUUUACCGCAGAUGUAUCAGCGAUCCGUCUCAUUUACCAGAUAGAUAUCCGAUUCAAUCUCCAAGAUCCGCGUCCUUUUGAGUCCCAAUUGUCAAUUAUACCCCUCGACGAAAUUCUGUGUUUUCACUUGAAAUACUAAAAUUCUAAUGGCAUCUAUUGUAAUUAUUUACCCUUAGUGAGGUUAGAUAUUAUGUAAUCCUUCCCAAUUAAUAGAAUAGAUGUUGGGAUUAUAAUAUUUUAUUAAUUAUAAAAGAAUUAUUUUAAGUGUU
rnacentral:lncRNA from 1 species